rnacentral:rRNA from 1 species
CCUACGGGAGGCAGCAGUGAGGAAUCUUGCGCAAUGGGCGAAAGCCUGACGCAGCCACGCCGCGUGGAGGAAGACACCCCUCAGGGGCGUAAACUCCUUUUGUACGGGAAGAACACCCUACUCGGUAGGGCCUGACGGUACCGUACGAAUAAGCACCGGCUAACUCCGUGCCAGCAGCCGCGGUAAUACGGAGGGUGCAAGCGUUGUCCGGAAUCACUGGGUGUAAAGGGUGUGUAGGCGGACUCGUAAGUCAGGGGUGAAAGCCACCGGCCUAACCGGUGAAUUGCCUUUGAUACUGCGAGUCUUGAGUCCUGGAGGGGUCACUAGAAUUCGUGGUGUAGCGGUGAAAUGCGUAGAUAUCACGAGGAAUACCAGAGGCGAAGGCGGGUGACUGGACAGGUACUGACGCUGAGGCACGAAAGCGUGGGGAGCGAACAGG